rnacentral:tRNA from 1 species
UGCCUUUUGGCUUGGUCAGUAGAGCAGGAGACUCUCGAUCUCAGGGUUGUGAGUUCAAGCCCCACACUGGCUU